UGGUAGAUGCACCCUGAAUUCAAUCCCUGGCUUCGGCUGGGGAUUUUUUUG
rnacentral:sRNA from 1 species